GAGAACUGUUUGGAUAGGAUAAGCAAUUACCAAGCUCUGGAGCUCUUUGCGGUCUGUUUGGUUCUUGAGAAACGGUAGUAGAAUAGAAGACACAGGAAAUAUGGCUCAAACACUGGCAAUGCCUGUGGCACCUUCGCUAUCACUAAUAUGCAACGGUUGGAGAAAUAAUUCUCUCUCUACCUUCGUCUCUCUUCCAAUCUCAAACCCUCCUAAGGCAAGUCCCAUUUCACUGAAUAAUUUAAGCGUUUUGGUCUUUUAAUCAUUUUUCUUUUCUUAUAUUCGUUCUCUUUUUUGCUUUUUCAAUCUCUAAUUGUUUUCUAUUACGUUACCCCUCUUGCGUGUUCUGUGAUUUCUCAAAAACUGUACUCGAUUGAGCUAAAUAAUUGUAAUUAGGCUUACUAAUUGUAUACUUAGAUUUGGCCUCAUUUGUGUAGUAAAAAAAUGGGAGAUUCUAAUGCCUUAGUUUCUUUCUCAUCCUAUUUUUUUAUUGGUAAUCCAUUGAAGUGUUUGCGUUUAGCAGUUGGUUUAGAAAUAAUCUCUUGCAGGCUAUCAGCUGUUUCUUGGUGGUUAAUGUAAGUUCAAAUUGAAGGGUAUUGGUUGAAGAUCGUGUUUUAUGUGAAUUGUAAGACUAUGCUUUUGUUGAUGGAUAGCUAUGUGCUGUUUCAUGGCGGUGAACUUAAGCUCAAUUGAAUUACGGGAUAUUGGUUGAAGGUCAUGUUUGAUAAGAAUUCUAAGACUAUGUUCUUCUUGAUGAAUCGCUGUGUGUUCAUUUGUUUCAUUUCUCUUUUUUGGGUCCUUAGAUCCAUGGUUUAAGCAUCCAGUGCGCACGUGUUGGAGGUGUGGAGAUUCCUAACAACAAGAGGGUUGAAUACUCCCUUCAGUACAUCCAUGGAGUUGGCCGCUCAAGGGCUCGCAAAAUUCUCUCUGAUCUUAGCAUGCAGAACAAAAUCACCAAGGACUUGUCUGAGGAGGAGCUCAUUACUCUUCGUGAUGAAGUGUCCAAGUACAUGAUUGAAGGCGAUUUGAGACGGUUCAAUGCUCUCAACAUAAGGAGGUUGAAGGAGAUUCAGUGCUAUAGAGGGAUAAGACAUAUUCAGGGUUUACCAUGCAGGGGACAGCGCACUAAGAACAAUUGCCGAACCUUGAAGGGUAAGAGAGUCACUGUUGCAGGGAAGAAGAAAGCCCCCCGUUAACCAUGCAGGUUCCAUUUCUUUUAUUUGGUUGGUAAAUUUAUGAUCUUAAUUCUAGUGGAAAUCACUCUGUACUCCUAACACAUUUACUUGAGUUAAUGAAAUUGAGUUUAUGAUCUCUUGAAGUGCUUCUGUUAGCCAUCCAAUUUUUGUUCAUGUUCUAUAUUCUCAGUAGCAUGCUACAUGCCCUUUCAUGUUUCUUGCCUGGUAAUUAGGUAAAUUAUUCUUGUUCAUUAAUAUUGGGGGCAUCCGGUGCAGAUAAUUUGGUUCCUCAAUGAUAGUGUGAUUGUGAGUCAGUACUGGCUAAGCUUUAAAAACUUGAAUGAAUUUGUUGUCAACCCUCCCCAGAGCCCAUCACUGGUUCACCCUUCUUUCAUUUAGCUCUUAUAUACUGACAUUGUUUGAGUCCACACAUUUUUCCAUGUCUGCAGGUUCAAUCCUAUGCCUGCCCAUUGAAUUGGCUGUUGCCUCAUCUCAUCAUUCUAAUUAUAGUUUUGCAUUGAUGUGUAAUCAAUUUCACUGAAACAUUUCUGAGAUCUUCUUCUCUUAUGACUAGUUCAUCGUAUUGCAACAUUCUCAUUAAAUCCUUGUUUAGACAUUCGCACUCUACUUCUGGAUAGAAAAGUGCACGCCAAGUUUAGAUCCUUGCUUUCAGUCUACUUUUGUGGAUGUUGCUCAAAGCUGAGGAGGAUUGAAGCCAUGGAUUCUGUUCACAGCACAAGGCAAUAAUUGCCCGUAGGAGGAGCCUUGCCAAUAUGCUUUUUCUAUGGAAUCAUGUUUCCAUUUUCCUCCCAAAUAUGAUUGCAAGAAAAGAACUAAAAUUGAUGUUGGUGGUCUGUUUCCUUAUUUAAGGCAUUGUAAUAAUCUAGGUUGGGGAAUGAAGCUGUUUAAUGAUGAUGAUUAGUUGUAAUUAAGCACUAAAAUUAUUUCCUUGCAGUUUGUUAGGUGAGGUUGUCCGCUAAACAUGUUUAUCUCUUAUCACCACAACACCAUUGAUUUAACUACAGUUUUCUUCUAUUAUUGUGUUUCUAUUAGGACCUUGCCACAGUAGCAAAGAUCAGUUACUAAAAUUUAAAGAUCACAAAUGGUCCCUCCUCAUCAAAUUGUUCUUUCUAUCAAAAGGGUUUGAGCCAUUAUUUUUCAGUCGAUUAAGAGGAGGAAAUACAAGAGAAUGCUAUGCUGACCGAAGGCACUUGUGUAUUACUUGGAAUCCCA
rnacentral:misc_RNA from 1 species